UCAGCGAGGAAACACCACGUCUCUCUCUGUCUCACCCUUUUUCCUGUAUUUCAGGUUAGUAAUGUGUUAGAACAUGACAUAAAUCGCUGUAGGUUGUUAGUGAAUGCUGAGAGAUAAGUUGAGUUAAAGUAUAAGAGUAAAAUGAGCAGGUUUUGGAGAUACGGUUUCACAUGAGGCCCGCCGAGAGUAACGAUAGCGGCGCGGUUUGCUCUGUUAAUAGCAUGUUAGCGUAAGAUGCUAGUGUGGGCCACACUUCUCCACUGUUUUAGGUUAGAAUAAUAUACUGGCUGGCUCCAUAAACGAUAUGUAGCAUGUUGGAAUAUUUUGGAAAUGGUGUUAUGUAUUUAUAUGUUUUAGUGAUGAAUACUGUUAUACUGUCAGCGAGUCAAGAGUCAUAUUUCGUGGCGUCAGAGUAUCCAGUGUAUUUUGCACUGCAGUAAUAGCCAAAAGUAUUUGGACAGACGAAUAUGGAAAUGGUUGUGAAAUGUGUAUAAUUUUGUGCUUGGAGUUUUAUUGCAUGUUAUUUUAAGAACAUGAACAAUGUGUCCAAGAAGACAAGGCAUGUACGGUACUGAUAAAUACUGAGAAAUUGAAACAAAGACGAUUCUGAUGGUAUAAAGGAAAUGUAAAUCAAUAAAUAACUGCAGAGAUUUCUGCAAGGAAACACCACGUCUCUCUCUGUCUCACCCUUUUUCCUGUAUUUCAGCUGCUUAUGGGUGCCGCUGCCCGGUACCCGUAACACCAGCAGCACAAAUGAGUGGGCCACCUUGAUUAAACGGUUGCGGCACUCAGCUGAGAACCUUUCAGCGGUCAGGCAUGGAGAAAACCUACACCUGACGCAGAUCCUGGAUUACUAAGGAUCUCCCACUGUUGCCAAAAUAUUCAAUGAGUACCCACGGUUUUUGGACACGCCAAGUCUGCUGGACUCAGAGUUUGGCAAACUUACAGGUGGAAGGACGGACCUCUUUUUACGAAGAUGGGGGAGGCCAACAUCAUUCCCAAACUCAAAUCAGUGGCUCCCUUGGAACCAAGAAUGUCCAAUCUGUUGAAGGAUAUUGAAGAGAAAACUGAAGGUAUUUUAUGUAAACAAACCCUCCAAAUCAGAAAUAAUUAAGAAGCCUUGAGUGUGAUACUAGAAAGUUAACAAAAACAAAAAACCCCAUCAAAUGACGUUGUCUUUUUCUUGGCUAUUAAACAAGUGAAUGUUAAAAAUA